ACUCCUACGGGAGGCAGCAGUGGGGAAUAUUGCACAAUGGGCGAAAGCCUGAUGCAGCAACGCCGCGUGAAGGAAGAAGGGUUUCGGCUCGUAAACUUCUAUCAACAGGGACGAAAAAAAUGACGGUACCUGAAUAAGAAGCCCCGGCUAACUACGUGCCAGCAGCCGCGGUAAUACGUAGGGGGCAAGCGUUAUCCGGAAUUACUGGGUGUAAAGGGAGAGUAGGCGGCAUGGUAAGUUAGAUGUGAAAGCCCGAGGCUUAACCUCGGGAUUGCAUUUAAAACUAUCAAGCUAGAGUACAGGAGAGGUAAGUGGAAUUCCUAGUGUAGCGGUGAAAUGCGUAGAUAUUAGGAAGAACACCAGUGGCGAAGGCGACUUACUGGACUGAAACUGACGCUGAGGCUCGAAAGCGUGGGGAGCGAACAGGAUUAGAUACCCUGGUAGUC
rnacentral:rRNA from 1 species